CGGAGCUUGUUGCCCGACCAUGCAGUAAGGCAGUGUAACCGCGGCAUCAUCAGCAGCGGAUCACCGGCGGCAUCAGCAGCUGAUCACUCCCCCUGCCCGCCCUCCACCUCCCCGCACAUCGGGACUGGAGCAGCUGUUAGUUGGUAGUGAUGGGGGAUCUGGUGUGUCGCGGACGCUCUAGUGGAAAGAGUGAGGCACCUGGGAGUCCGGAGGAGAGGCAGGAGAAGAGACGCAGCAAAUAGAAGUUCCGUAAGAGCAGAAAGUCAUUAAUCCGUUUUAUUCUGUGGUUCCCAAAGCAAAACAUGAGCGGAAGGAAUCCUGUAGCUUUAAUGUGGAAGUCCCUAUAUUUUCUGUUUACUUUUCGUCUUCUUUACAUUUCUGUUGCUUUCUGAGAUGUGAUGGGGGACGUCGAAAAUGUGUUGUAACACUGCUUGUAUUGUACCAUGUUAAGUCGGUAUGUAUGCAUUUUAUGUACAGUGUACAAUUUGGAAAUGUUGCUAGUGGAGAAGGCCCACACUGCUACUAUUGUGUAAAUAUGUUGUUUGUGUGUUUAAUACAUUCCCUUUUGACUGUUGCAUUCUGCUUUAGCAGACAUGCUGAAGCCACACACCGCAGGAAGUCCUAUGUGUGAAAAUGGGCUAACACAGUCUAAGGAUGAAGCUUUUCAGACCAUGGUAAAUCAGGCUUUAACGCAGUUCCCAUAGACAGCUAUGUUUUUGCUGAGUGGGGAACACAGCAAAUAUCUCCAAUAGCCGCUGUGGUGCCCCUCUUGUUAAAUACCCCAUGGGCUCUUAAAUGCAUAAAUCCUCAUAAAACAGCUAUUUUUGACCUUGAACUUAGUAAAUAGGCCCAUAAGUUAUACAAGUAUCAUUUUUGGGAUGAGUACAGGAUGGCCACAUGAGCUAAACCCACAUACUAAGACUACUGCACCUCACCACUGUCCCCCUCCCCAAAACUUUGUGCAGGCUUGUAUAUAAUAUUAUCUGCAGCAUCCUUAAAGCACCACAAGCCCCAUACGAGUUAUUGUCCGUUAUUAUGUCACCAACCAAUCAUAUUGUCACCAGCUACCGAGUAUACGGCAUUGCCACUUUCUUAUUCAUUCUAGAAGACUGCUAUAAAUUCUUCCUGCUUUCUUUCCAGCCAGAAAACAUGUAUAUAUAUGUAUAUAUGUAUAUAUAUAUAUAUAAAGUCUUUCUAUACCACGUUAUAAUUGCAUUUCUUAUGCUCCACUAGCCUCCUGUGCUGUAAUAAGUUUCAUAAUAAAGCACGGACGGGGGUCAAA